GCAGCUACCAUGCAGUCGAGCGGUACACAGAGGAGCUUGCUCCUUGGGUGACGAGCGGCGGACGGGUGAGUAAUGCCUGGGGAUCUGCCCGAUAGAGGGGGAUAACUACGGGAAACUGUAGCUAAUACCGCAUAAUGUCUACGGACCAAAGUGGGGGCUCUUCGGACCUCAUGCUAUCGGAUGAACCCAGGUGGGAUUAGCUAGUUGGUGAGGUAAUGGCUCACCAAGGCGACGAUCUCUAACUGGUUUGAGAGAAUGACCAGUCACACUGGAACUGAGACACGGUCCAGACUCCUACGGGAGGCAGCAGUGGGGAAUAUUGCACAAUGGGCGCAAGCCUGAUGCAGCCAUGCCGCGUGUGUGAAGAAGGCCUUCGGGUUGUAAAGCACUUUCAGCGGGGAGGAAGGGCUACUAGUUAAUACCUAGUGGCAUUGACGUUACUCGCAGAAGAAGCACCGGCUAACUCCGUGCCAGCAGCCGCGGUAAUACGGAGGGUGCAAGCGUUAAUCGGAAUUACUGGGCGUAAAGCGCACGCAGGCGGUUUGUUAAGUCAGAUGUGAAAUCCCCGAGCUCAACUUGGGAACUGCAUUUGAAACUGGCAAGCUAGAGUCUUGUAGAGGGGGGUAGAAUUCCAGGUGUAGCGGUGAAAUGCGUAGAGAUCUGGAGGAAUACCGGUGGCGAAGGCGGCCCCCUGGACAAAGACUGACGCUCAGGUGCGAAAGCGUGGGGAGCAAACAGGAUUAGAUACCCUGGUAGUCCACGCUGUAACCGAUGUCGAUUUGGAGGUUGUGCCCCUUGAGGCGUGGCUUCCGGAGCUAACGCCGUUAAAUCCGACCCGCCCUGGGGGAGUACCGGGCCGCAAGGGUUAAAAACCUCAAA
rnacentral:rRNA from 1 species